rnacentral:tRNA from 1 species
GCGCCCGUAGCUCAGGGGAUAGAGCACCCGCCUCCUAAGCGGGGGGCCGGCAGUUCAAUUCUGCCCGGGCGCACCA